rnacentral:tRNA from 1 species
CCUGGUGGCUCAGAUGGUAAAGCGUCUGCCUGCAAUGUGGGAGACCUGGGUUCAAUCCCCAGGUCAGGA